rnacentral:tRNA from 1 species
GGAAGCGUGCCUGAAAACCAAAGGAUCACUUUGAUAGAGUGAAUCAUGGGAGUUAAAAUCUCCCCGCUUCUU